UAAAAUCUUCCUUCAACAGAGAAAAUUUCUUUCAAAAACGCCUGGAUUAUUUGCUUUGUAUUUUGCAAAUCAUUUCACGAAAAGUGCCCGACAUGAGUCAAUGAAUCAAUGCUGAGUCACCGAAAUAACCAACAAAUUCCUGAAGUUGUAUUAUAAAAGGAUAUCUCCGAGUUAAGUUAUUCAUACGUAUUGAAUUCGUGCAUCUCAGAAAUGGAACUUUUGAAACGCAGUCUACUUUUCCUCGCGGCUCUGAUGGUGGCAACUUUGUCUGUCAUCCAGGCUGUUCCUGACCCUGAUCCACAACUCCGCCCUAUCGGCAGAAAAUGAAUACUCCUGACUGUUUGGAUUUGCAGAAUGGAAGACGACCGAAUAUGCUCCUUCUUCAAGAAUAAAAAUGCUUCUAUAGAGAUACAAAAUAACUCCUAAAAGCUUUGUAAAUUGUUGUUAUUCAAUUUCGUACAUUCCAAAAUAUGCAAUAAUAAAGCAUCUAUAAAAUUUCA